UACAGAGGUCUCGAGCGUUAGGCGGAAUCACUGGGCUUAAAGCGUGUGUAGGUGGAUCGUUAAGUACCUUGUGAAAUCCCACGGCUUAACCGUGGAACUGCUUGGUAUACUGGCGGUCUUGAGUCAGCUAGGGGCUACCGGAACAAAUGGUGGAGCGGUGAAAUGCGUAGAUAUCUGGAAGAACACCAAUGGCGAAGGCACCAUCCUGGGAAGCAUCUGACGCUCAGGUGCGAAAGCUAGGGGAGCGAACGGG
rnacentral:rRNA from 1 species